rnacentral:tRNA from 1 species
AAGAGCUGAAUUAGAUACUGCUAAUAUCUUAAACCAAUACUAAUCCACUGGCACUCUU